rnacentral:lncRNA from 1 species
ACCAUCACUCACCUAGAAAAGAACAAUAACAGGACCUGUUUUGCUAAUCCAGGACUGUUCUCCAGCACUAACUCUAAAUAAUCCCUUCUGUUAGAGUCCACUUUCUGGAACCUGUUGCCUCCGUUUUCAACGUUUCCCAAACUUGGUCCGUUGUGUGAGUUGGCUGUUAAAAGUUCCAGGGAGAGGACAUCUUAUUCUUAUUGGAUCACGCACAGUGCCUGAAGCAUUCUGUUGCAUGUAGAAAUCAGUAAAUUGCAGAUGUAAGAUUCAAAACGAGACUUCACAUCUACCGACUUCAGUGAUCCUGAAAUUUGUCCACAGAGAGCAUUUAACAUAACUGUCUUCAUCAUCUCCUUCUCUAAUUAAAAACUAUGGGUAACAGAAAGAAACCGAGGGUCUGCUAUUUGUCUCCAGAGGCCUUACAAACUGGUAGAAGAUGCAUAAUAGAAGAGCUUAUGAAGUUAAAGAUGACAGCAUAGCAACACUGGUGAGAUCAUUUUAGACAUAACAUGGUAGGAAGGACUGUUUGACAAAGUGAAUGCCUGUCUUUCAGAAAAUACAGGGAGGUGUGGUGUACCCAUUAUCACAAGCAGAUGGAAUCCCUAUAGAGUCAGAUCUCAUCUACAUAUCACCUAUUAUAUGUAGUUAUUGAUGGAUAAAUACUUCAACAACUAAAGGCAGAAAGAGAGCAGUUCACAAAGACAUUAUUGGUGAUUCAAUCUUGAGUCAUGAAAAGCCAACCUUGAGCCACAAAAAGUCAACCUUGAGCCAAGCAGAGUGGAGAGUCAUACUGGCCAUUCCUGGGACCAUCAAAAAUGGCAGAG